GAAGAUGCCACAGUAAAAGAAUCCAACUCCUGUGUCUGUUACACGCCUCCAGAAAUUAUGCCAGAAUCUGUAGUAAUGUGCCUGAAAUACUCGCAUUUUCAAAUAACCAUUGAACGUUAAUAAGACAAAAUGUCAGGUAUUGAAUAGAGAGGAUACAAAAUAUAAGAGAUUGAAAAAUGUUUGGGAGUAAACUACGAUCGUGGAUGGAAGCUGUGAGAUCCA